UUUGGUGGUGAGAGGAUAAUAGACAUGCGAGAGGACUUGGGUAAGAUUGAUGAGGGGGAGUUUCAAUUUUUGGAUGAGGACUGGAAUUGAAGGAUUUGGAUUUUGGAGGAGGCAAUGAGAGAGUUAGGGGUCAGAUUGCAAGAGGUUUAGGGUCGAUGGCCACGUCUAGCUUUCGACUUUUUUCCUUUUUAUACGAGUUAGACGCGUCAUCGUGGACAUUUCUCCUCUUGAGUAGUGGUGGCAGCGGAGAAGCCUCUUCUUCUUCUCUGUCAUUCCAUUCUUCUCCCUUAACUUUAUUUAAGGUUUUGAGGUGUCUCUCUUCUUCUUUAUUUUGAUGGAGUGUUAUGGUUUGGUUGAGAUUCGCCUGAGAACAUGCAUAAGGGGUGAUUGCAGAAAAGCUAAAAGCUUAGGAACCGUCGGAGGAAGGGCAGAUCAUUAAUUGUAUGUAACGCCUUCCUCUUACGUGGUGGCAGCAACGUUGAGAAUAGAUUUAGGGAUUCCCGACGUAUCAUUAAUCGCGUGGGAAUAUGUUUAGGGAUUUCUGACGUUUAACAAAUCAGGUCAUGAAUAGGGUGCUAUUCCCGACGUUUUCGUCGUGCGUCAGGAGUUCUCUGUCUUUUUUAACUCCAUUCUUUACAUAAAGGAAACAUAAAGAGAAAGAAAAUGAGAGAGGGAGAGGGAGACCGAGAGGAAGAUUGAGAAGAAGAGGGCAUUGUCAUCACCAUUGUCGUCCCUGUUGUCGUCCCGUCGUCGUCGCCAUCGGUAAGUGGUUUAGUUUAGUUAUUGUUUUGUUUUAGUUAAUUAGUUUUAGUAUUUAGAUUUCAAAUUUGUUUUAGGUGUUAGAUUUUAGAUUUCAAAUUAGUUUUAGUAUUUAGAUUUUGAAUUAGUUGUAAGUUUUAGUAAUGAAAUUUAAUUUCAAGUGUUGUUAGAAUUUUGAAUUAGUUGUAGGUUUUAGAAAUUUGAAUUUGAAGUGUUGAAGUUGAGAUUGAAGUGUUGAAGUUGAGGUUGAAGUGUUGAAGUUGAGUUUGAAUUUAAAAUUUUCAAUUUGAAUUUAGGAAUUAAAUGAAGUUAUUUUUUUUAAAAAAAAAAUAGAGGAUCUCCCGACGCAUGGUUCCUAGACAUCUCUCGAUGCUAUAUUGACAACAUCUUCGACGUUCAUACAACGUCGGAAGAUGUCUAGAAACCCUCAACGCACAACAUUGUGCAUCGGGAGUUCCUCUCCCGAUACAUUUUUCCUCACUUGUGUUCCGACGUAUAUUAGUGCGUCAGAAAAGCCUUUUCUGACGCUUUUUAUAUAUCUCCCAAUGAUUUUAUG
rnacentral:lncRNA from 1 species